rnacentral:lncRNA from 1 species
UAGGAAAACAUUUUUAAAGAUAUGAUGUUUAAUCAUGUCUGAGCCCAAGGAAUGUGAAGCCCCUGUGAGGAAUUCUACUCCAAGAGGAUAGAAAUAAGAAAUGGGUGGCUUCUCCUGUCAAGCUUUCCAAGAUGAUGUCAACGGGAAAACCAAGUACUGAAUAACCUGAACAAACAUUUAGAGAAAGACUACAUCAUGCAGAUAGUAGGUAUAAAGAAGAUUUUUUCAUCUGGGAAUUAUAUGCUUUUAUCUGUAUCAGUCAGGACACCUGCAGGAAACAGAUGACACAUUUAAAUUGGACUAACUUGAGGAGGGACUCUUUACAAAGUUGAAGGCAAGUUUUCGUUUUUUUAAAUGGUUAGGGAACUCCUUUUCUAGUUAUAAUUUGCUAU